AGCGGGCAGAACUUGCAAGUAUUGAUGGGAGANUCAGGCUUGGUGCUGGUGACUGCAAGUGCAAAGUUAGGUUGGGACUCGAUCCUGACUGGUGUGUGCUUGUUGAUUUGCUGGUACUGCGCCGCAUUUCUCCUUAUCAUCCGGGUUGCAUGCAACUAAAUGGUGUUCUAGGUGCUGGGGUACUGCAAAUCCUCGUGGUUUGAGUCCUGGUUACCGAAUACUGUUGUGGUUGUUGAAAUCGAGUGAACAGGCGUUUGUCGCGGUCAUAGGUUCUGGCGAGCAGGGUACGUAUGAUGUGUGGACGGGUAACCGUAGCAUGUUGUGCGUACUGGUUGUCAGCCGGAGCUUUUAUGGCUCUGUUCAGAGAAUUGCAAUCUAAAACAUGCGUGGUCUGCCU
rnacentral:rRNA from 1 species